GCUCAGCCCGGGAGAUCCUGGCCGGCAGGCUCAGAAUCCGGUUCUCACCUUCCUCCCAGGACGCCCACCUCGCUCCUGGCUGGGCAGGACUGUCACCACCUGGCCGGGGGGUGGCCCUAUGAUGCUGGCACCUGCUCUUCCCCAUUCCAGAACAACAGCACACCCCACGCCAAUCAGGCCCAGGCGUGGCUCGGGUGCACACUUGACCUGCGUGCCCACUGCAGAGCCUAAACCAGGCUGGGGCUGCUCCUGGAGGGCAGGGGGUGUUCUGAGCGGGGGGACUAAGGUCCAGGGAGCAGCUCUCGGUGCAGCUGCAGCAGAGAUGCCAGCUCGGGAAGACAGGCGGUGGGUGACAGGGAUAAUUGGCACCGUGAAGGCUGGGGGUCAGACCUACCACGCUGUGGCUCCAAACCCAGCCCGCUGUGACCAGGCACCUGCUCGGGCACUGCCUGUCACUCCCCUCCUUGCCACAACAUCCCCAUCUUUUUGUGCGUGGGGGGUUAGAACAGGGAGCAUCAAGCCAGCGGGAACGGCCUUGGUUCCUCUCCUUCCCAGAGAACCGAAUGCCCACACGUGCUCUGGUCCAGCGCGGAGGCUCCCACACCCGAGCACGCGUGACUUUUCCUGUGCGCAGCCGGGAGCCUGCAACCACACAUGCUGCCCGUGGGUGAUGCGGGGCCCUUUGGGGGAGCUCAGGCUCCCCGUGUGUGCAGAGCCCUGCGGCCACUGGACCGCAGUCCCACAGCCCAGCCUCGGCCACCUGCCCCUGCUCCCCAGUCACUUCCACUGCGCCCCACCCCGCCCACUCAGGCCAUCAAGACUUUUCUCUUGUCCCUCACGUGGCCGGAUUUGUUCAGGCAGCGGCCACAGCACCUACAAUUGUGCCCUGAGCAUUUGCUGCUGUGGACCCUUGAUCCCUGCUGAGGACGGCAGGUGCUCGCGGGGCUCACGGCGAACGUGGGAGGAUGGAUAGGACCCCGUGGGAGGCGCCGGGGAAGCCCUGCCCCUGCCCCCUUGGCAUCCGCUGUCCCCAUCGUGCAGCUAAGCCCGUCCUGCCUGUGGGAAGUGCCAGCGGCUGCAAUCUAGGGACUAGCACCCUGUAGGGGACAAGGGAAGUUGUGGAUGGAGCCCAGCUCCUCGCCGUCUGGGGGCCUGAGGCCCGCUCUCUGCCGUGUCCCCGGUCCCAGGACCUCUCCCUGCAGCAGAACCAGCUCACUGGCCCUCUGCGGCCUGGGCUCCUUCCGUCCCUGCCUCACGAUCCAGCCCCCCGACAGUGCCUGGAAAAGCCAACCCUUUGCUCAGUGUGCCCAGCAGCCUUCGGUGACGGUUCCUCCUCGGGCACAGGAGGUGCCUCAAAGCCCUAAUCCCGGGGGUGUGGAUAUCCCGCCCCAGGGAGGACAGCAGGGACAGGUGGGUGGUUUCCUUCCCUCGGGCGUUGGAUCUCAGGUUCCUGGGGAAAGUGGCACCUUUGGUCUCCUGCCUUCUCCUGCCCCACAGACAGAUUAAACCAAACAAGGUGGAAAAAAGUUGUCAUUAGAAAAAAAUCUUGUGGCCAACGGCUGCCCGAGGCCGGGGUCUGGGAGGAGAGACGGAGCUAAAAUGCUUCGGAGAACCUAAGGCCUGGAACCCGGCUCCAUCCAGAAAGAGCUUCGCAGCCGGGACCCCAGCGACAGCCACGGGUGGGAGCAAAGAAAGUUUCCAGACUCCUCUCUUCCAGAGAUAGUUUCAAGAGCUUUAUUUUUCUUGCCAGUUGGCUAAGAAGCAAAAAAAGGAACAAUAGAUUCAAGCUGAAAUAAUUUGCAUUUAUGAUGAACACAAGGAAUAUCUACCUUGCAUUUUCCUAAAAAAGAAAAAUUAAACCCCGUUUUUAAUUAACUGAUAAACUAUUAAUCAAAUUUUUGCAAUGUUAGGUGACACAUUAUUCAUUUAGAUAGAAUGACUGUGAACUUAAACUAAUCAAAUCUGAUUUGCCCACAUAGGCUUGAUUGAAAUACAUUUUAACUAGCAUAUACAAAGAGAAAAUCUUGGAUUUCUUACCUAAUCUUCAGAGUAUACUGCUGAGUUAAUAAGGGCAGUUUUUUUUUUUUAAAUGAGACCACCAUUUCUUCAUCUGCAUAUCAAAAUCAAGAGGAACUUAAUUGCAAAACACAUAUUCCUGAAAUCUAAUCAUUACACUGCUUUAGGGUAUUUUAUUGAAGCAUGUUAAAUUAUGGACAGAAUAUUAAUGAUGGAGCUAAUCAAACCCAAUUAGUCACUUCUAACAAUAGUCACAUAAAUAUACAAGUCAGGUACUAAAGUACUGUAGAUAUGAUGUAAAAUUGUUAAAAUAUUAAAUGUAUGGGAUAUUUAUGAAAUAUUCAUGUAGAAUUUAAAGCCAAAAAUCAUCGGGUAAGUCACUUUAAAGAAAACAAGUUAGGCAGUGUCCUACAAUAUUUGACUGGAAUUCACAAGUUUUCACCUAUUCUUCAGGUACGUUCGAAUCCAGGGGAUUAGCGAGUCUAUAAUCAAUCAAUCAGCAAAUUCUAAUAAGGCCUGCUGGAAGCGUAGGUCUGGAGUCUUGGGGCCUUGGAAAAGCUGCCGGAGGGGUGCAUAGAGCGUUCCGGGGCCGUGGCAUCUGGCGUCCACCCCCAUCGCCGGGGCAAAGCCAGGCAGGACAAGGCAGGGAAGCCCCUGCCCGGCGGAUGUCCCCCUCCUCCCGCAGGUGAGGCUUCAGGAACAGAUGCUCAGAGGCCCCGGGGAGUCCCAGCUUUGGCCUGUGAGUGAUCUUGGUGGAAGGUUCCAGGCCCGGGAGCCGGGCCAAAGCAGCCACUCUGAGUUGUGUUUCCUGUCACUUGCAACCCGAAGAGUCCUGGCCAGUGACGGGAGAGAAGCAGAGAGACCAGCUUUCAGCUUCGUGGGGUCCAAAGCAGAUGAGCAGACCAGUCUGUCUUCCUCCUGCAAGCAAUCAGGCCUGGGGUGACGCUUUCAUUUUUGUCGAAAGGGGGUUCCCCAACGGCCCGGCCUUAUCUCUGCUCUGCAAGGCCUCCCAGGCCCGAAAAAAGCAGAAAAACUCUGCUUCAUUCAAGACAGGAGAGAACCAUCGAGGUGACUUGCCUGAAUUUCCCUGGAAAGUUUCCCCGGGGAACAUCCUGAAGCAAUUUGUCAGCCAUCAAGGCGCCAUCAAGUCACCUGAACUUUUCGGUUACCCAAAAAGCGGUAUUGAAUCACCUUCAAAGGAACCCAUUUCAAAGGUGCCUUUUUCAGUUGUCGAAGUCAUUAAACCAAGUAUCAAGAACCAGGCUUCGGAGCUGCUGCCUCGCAAAGUGUUAAUCAAGAUUUUCAAAAAUAAUGAAGCACAUUUAAUCACAUUGCCACUCACGAAGAACAUCAUAAUUAAUAUUUGGGUGAGAGCAAAAAGAUUAUGUUGUUAAUAAAUAAGUUAUUUUAAA